rnacentral:tRNA from 1 species
UCAUUUCUAGUUUAGUAGUUGGAGAAUACUAGUUUGUCAUACUAGAGGCGGUUGUUGAAUCGAAGUGAG